rnacentral:rRNA from 1 species
UUAGAGUUUGAUCCUGGCUCAGGACGAACGCUGGCGGCGUGCCUAAUACAUGCAAGUCGAGCGAGCGGAACUAACAGAUUUACUUCGGUAAUGACGUUAGGAAAGCGAGCGGCGGAUGGGUGAGUAACACGUGGGGAACCUGCCCCAUAGUCUGGGAUACCACUUGGAAACAGGUGCUAAUACCGGAUAAGAAAGCAGAUCGCAUGAUCAGCUUUUAAAAGGCGGCGUAAGCUGUCGCUAUGGGAUGGCCCCGCGGUGCAUUAGCUAGUUGGUAAGGUAAAGGCUUACCAAGGCGAUGAUGCAUAGCCGAGUUGAGAGACUGAUCGGCCACAUUGGGACUGAGACACGGCCCAAACUCCUACGGGAGGCAGCAGUAGGGAAUCUUCCACAAUGGACGCAAGUCUGAUGGAGCAACGCCGCGUGAGUGAAGAAGGUUUUCGGAUCGUAAAGCUCUGUUGUUGGUGAAGAAGGAUAGAGGUAGUAACUGGCCUUUAUUUGACGGUAAUCAACCAGAAAGUCACGGCUAACUACGUGCCAGCAGCCGCGGUAAUACGUAGGUGGCAAGCGUUGUCCGGAUUUAUUGGGCGUAAAGCGAGCGCAGGCGGAAGAAUAAGUCUGAUGUGAAAGCCCUCGGCUUAACCGAGGAACUGCAUCGGAAACUGUUUUUCUUGAGUGCAGAAGAGGAGAGUGGAACUCCAUGUGUAGCGGUGGAAUGCGUAGAUAUAUGGAAGAACACCAGUGGCGAAGGCGGCUCUCUGGUCUGCAACUGACGCUGAGGCUCGAAAGCAUGGGUAGUGAACAGGAUUAGAUACCCUGGUAGUCCAUGCCGUAAACGAUGAGUGCUAAGUGUUGGGAGGUUUCCGCCUCUCAGUGCUGCAGCUAACGCAUUAAGCACUCCGCCUGGGGAGUACGACCGCAAGGUUGAAACUCAAAGGAAUUGACGGGGGCCCGCACAAGCGGUGGAGCAUGUGGUUUAAUUCGAAGCAACGCGAAGAACCCUACCAGGUCUUGACAUCUAGUGCCAUUUGUAGAGAUACAAAGUUCCCUUCGGGGACGCUAAGACAGGUGGUGCAUGGCUGUCGUCAGCUCGUGUCGUGAGAUGUUGGGUUAGGUCCCGCAACGAGCGCAACCCUUGUUAUUAGUUGCCAGCAUUAAGUUGGGCACUCUAAUGAGACUGCCGGUGACAAACCGGAGGAAGGUGGGGAUGACGUCAAGUCAUCAUGCCCCUUAUGACCUGGGCUACACACGUGCUACAAUGGGCAGUACAACGAGAAGCGAGCCUGCGAAGGCAAGCGAAUCUCUGAAAGCUGUUCUCAGUUCGGACUGCAGUCUGCAACUCGACUGCACGAAGCUGGAAUCGCUAGUAAUCGCGGAUCAGCACGCCGCGGUGAAUACGUUCCCGGGCCUUGUACACACCGCCCGUCACACCAUGGGAGUCUGCAAUGCCCAAAGCCGGUGGCCUAACCUUCGGGAAGGAGCCGUCUAAGGCAGGGCAGAUGACUGGGGUGAAGUCGUAACAAGGUAGCCGUA